CAUUGACAUUAAUAGAAACGGUAAUAUUAAUAGCGACAUCUAUAGUAUCGACAAUAACAACAUCAGUAGUAAAGACAAUAAAAACAUCGAUGGUAAUGACAAUAGUAGCGGUAAAAGAUGGUACAGCAUACAGCAUAUUCAACUUGACCCAACUGCUUCGAAAAAUUCAAGUAAUACUUCUUUUCAUGAAAUGUGUCAAAAAAAUAAUGCAAAUAAGUAUGUCGAAAAUAAUUCACUAUCAAAAAAAAAAGAAAAAUGUACAACUUAUUUAAAAGGUAGCAUUACAAGUGAAAACAAAUGUAGUUUGAGUAAAAAAAAAAAUAUGAACAAAGCUUUGAGUUCACAUAAGCUAGACGAUGCGCAUACUAAUGAUGGGUUUAAAAAAAUAAAUGAAAUUAUAAAAAGUGAAAAAGGUACUAACAGUCUAAAUGCUUUAAAUUUUAAUAACAAAUUAACUUUUAUGGCUUUGUCAAAUUCAAGUAGUGUUGAUAAAAACAGAAUAAAUGUGAGUAAAUCUGGUAGUAUGAAUGCGAAUAAUAAUAGUGCGAACAUGAACGGUGUCCGUAAUCGUAGGAUACUAUCAUCAUAUUCGAUGUAUAAGAAAGCUCCUUCGGAAGUAAAACCUAAAUCGUCACAACUUACACACCUGAAAGUUAACUCAAACAAUAAAGAAUAUAAUACAAAUGACAAAGUAAAUAAAAAUAUAACAGACAGCAAAGGACUAAAUGAUAAUAGUAAAAAUAUUAAAAAAAAAAUGAGUCUAGCUGAUAAUGUCAGAAACAUGUAUAAUUUAAAAAAGGGAGAAGAAAAAGAAGACACACUAUCGAAGUUUUACACAAAUAAUAAAAACAGUAAAGACGAACUAGUUAAUAAAUAUAAAAAGGAAGUACUAAAAAAUGCAAAAAAUGUAAUAAGUUAUGGUAACAACAACAGCAGCGGUGACAAUAACAGACAUAAUUUAGUAAUCCAAAGAAAAGUGCCAUUAAAAACUUAUCUUAAAGAAAAUAAUAUGAUAAUGAAAAGUAAAACAAACAAUAUUUUAGCAUCACUGAAAAAAAACAUAGCAAAUAAUAAGCAAGAUAAAGCGCAACUAAGUAAAGCCA
rnacentral:lncRNA from 1 species